ACGCCUAAACAUGCAAGUCGAACGAAGUAGCAAUACUUAGUGGCAGACGGGUGAGUAACAUGUGGGUAUCUGCCCUUUGGCCUGGAAUAACACGAGGAAACUUGUGCUAAUACUGGAUAAGUCUUUACGGAGAAAGCUUUAUGCACCAUUGGAUGAGCCCGCACUUGAUUAGUUUGUUGGUGGGGUAAUGGCCUACCAAGACUGUGAUCAAUAGCUGAUUUGAGAGGAUGAUCAGCCACAUUGGGACUGAGACACGGCCCAAACUCCUACGGGAGGCAGCAGUGGGGAAUCUUGCACAAUGGAGGAAACUCUGAUGCAGCGAUGCCGCGUGAGUGAAGAAGGCCCUUGGGUUGUAAAGCUCUUUCGUCGGGGAAGAAAAUGACUGUACCCGAAUAAGAAGGU
rnacentral:rRNA from 1 species